GGUGGCUCAGUGGUAGAGCGCUUGCCUCACAUGCAUGAAGACUUGGGUUCAAUUCCUCAGCACCA
rnacentral:tRNA from 1 species